rnacentral:tRNA from 1 species
UGGGGUAUAGCCAAGUGGUAAGGCAAGGGACUUUGACUCCUUUACGCGUUGGUUCGAAUCCAGCUACCCCAG